UACGUAGGGGGCAAGCGUUGUCCGGAUUUAUUGGGCGUAAAGAGCGUGUAGGCGGCCUGAAAGGUCAGCUGUGAAAACUCGAGGCUCAACCUCGAGACGUCGGUUGAAACCAUCUGGCUAGAGUCCGGAAGAGGAGAGUGGAAUUCCCGGGUGUAGCGGUGAAAUGCGCAGAUAUCGGGAAGAACACCCGUGGCGAAGGCGGCUCUCUGGGACGGUACUGACGCUGAGACGCGAAAGCGUGGGGAGCGACGAGG
rnacentral:rRNA from 1 species